CUCUUCCCAAACGACUCUAGCUUGUGUCAAGCUGACACAAGACUAGGUAGCAUUGUGACCACGGGGAGGGGGAGGGGAGGACACGCAGCCUCUCUCUCCUACAUCCUGUCCCUCUUCUUCUUCCUCUUCCUCUAUGACCCACUACCCUGCCCUGCCACCUGCCCUACUUCCCCUGGGCCUGCUCCUGUCUCAGGAACUCCUAGAUACUGGGAUCCGGGCACACCUCCUCUGCCAAGUACCCUCCAAGGGGGAGGCGAGCAGACCUUGAUGUUUACCGAGGCCCCUUUGGCUCUGCCGGCUCCCUAAGGUUUUUCUGGGCUCAUGCCAGCUGGGCCGGGCAGGCUCUGGGACGUGGGAAUUCACAGCCCAGUGAGGAGGUGGGUGCUAAUAGGCUAAUCCCAGGAGUCCCAAGUCUUCCGAGUCGCACCGGUCUGAGGCAUAGACGGGAGGGAGCAGAAAGAGGUGCGAACAGGCCCGAAAUGGAGCCCUGGGUGGGGCAGGGUCCUGGAAGUUUGCAGGGACUAAUGUCACCCCUGUGGGGGUGAGGGCUAGAAAAAUCAGAAGAACAUUUUAGAAUAGAGAGUCCCUGGAG
ensembl:lncRNA